CCGACCUUAGCUCAGUUGGAAGAGCGCGAGACUGUAAUUGGAUAUCAUCUUGAGGUCGCCUGUUCGAGCCAGGCAGGUCGGA
rfam:Cylindrobasidium torrendii FP15055 ss-10 unplaced genomic scaffold CYLTOscaffold_443, whole genome shotgun sequence.